UGCAAGUCGAACGGAAAGGUCUCUUCGGAGAUACUCGAGUGGCGAACGGGUGAGUAACACGUGGGUAAUCUGCCCUGCACUUCGGGAUAAGCCUGGGAAACUGGGUCUAAUACCGAAUAGGACCAUAAGGCGCAUGCCUAUUGGUGGAAAGCUUUUGCGGUGUGGGAUGGGCCCGCGGCCUAUCAGCUUGUUGGUGGGGUGACGGCCUACCAAGGCGACGACGGGUAGCCGGCCUGAGAGGGUGUCCGGCCACACUGGGACUGAGAUACGGCCCAGACUCCUACGGGAGGCAGCAGUGGGGAAUAUUGCACAAUGGGCGCAAGCCUGAUGCAGCGACGCCGCGUGGGGGAUGACGGCCUUCGGGUUGUAAACCUCUUUCACCAUCGACGAAGGUCCGGGUUUUCUCGGAUUGACGGUAGGUGGAGAAGAAGCACCGGCCAACUACGUGCCAGCAGCCGCGGUAAUACGUAGGGUGCGAGCGUUGUCCGGAAUUACUGGGCGUAAAGAGCUCGUAGGUGGUUUGUCGCGUUGUUCGUGAAAUCUCACGGCUUAACUGUGAGCGUGCGGGCGAUACGGGCAGACUGGAGUACUGCAGGGGAGACUGGAAUUCCUGGUGUAGCGGUGGAAUGCGCAGAUAUCAGGAGGAACACCGGUGGCGAAGGCGGGUCUCUGGGCAGUAACUGACACUGAGGAGCGAAAGCGUGGGGAGCGAACAGGAUUAGAUACCCUGGUAGUCCACGCCGUAAACGGUGGGUACUAGGUGUGGGUUUCCUUCCUUG
rnacentral:rRNA from 1 species